rnacentral:rRNA from 1 species
GACGAACGCUGGCGGCGUGCUUAACACAUGCAAGUCGAGCGGAAAGGCCCUUCGGGGUACUCGAGUGGCGAACGGGUGAGUAACACGUGAGUAACCUGCCCCAGACUUUGGGAUAACCCUCGGAAACGGGGGCUAAUACCGGAUACGACACAGCUUCGCAUGGGGUCUGUGUGGAAAGUUUUUCGGUUUGGGAUGGGCUCGCGGCCUAUCAGCUUGUUGGUGGGGUGAUGGCCUACCAAGGCGACGACGGGUAGCCGGCCUGAGAGGGCGACCGGCCACACUGGGACUGAGACACGGCCCAGACUCCUACGGGAGGCAGCAGUGGAGAAUAUUGCACAAUGGGCGGAAGCCUGAUGCAGCGACGCCGCGUGAGGGAUGACGGCCUUCGGGUUGUAAACCUCUUUCAGCAGGGACGAAGCGUAAGUGACGGUACCUGCAGAAGAAGCGCCGGCCAACUACGUG